rnacentral:rRNA from 1 species
AAACCAGCACCUCAAGUGGUCAGGAUGAUUAUUGGGCCUAAAGCAUCCGUAGCCUGCUCUGUAAGUUUUCGGUUAAAUCUGUACGCUUAACGUACAGGCUGCCGAAAAUACUGCAGAGCUAGGGAGUGGGAGAGGUAGACGGUACUCGGGAGGAAGUGGUAAAAUGCUUUGAUCUCUCGAUGACCACCUGUGGCGAAGGCGGUCUACCAGAACACGUCCGACGGUGAGGGAUGAAAGCUGGGGGAGCAAACCGGAUUAGAAACCCGAGUAGUCC